GAUGAACGCUGGCGGCGUGCCUAAUACAUGCAAGUCGAGCGAACGGACGAGAAGCUUGCUUCUCUGAUGUUAGCGGCGGACGGGUGAGUAACACGUGGAUAACCUACCUAUAAGACUGGGAUAACUUCGGGAAACCGGAGCUAAUACCGGAUAAUAUUUUGAACCGCAUGGUUCAAAAGUGAAAGACGGUCUUGCUGUCACUUAUAGAUGGAUCCGCGCUGCAUUAGCUAGUUGGUAAGGUAACGGCUUACCAAGGCAACGAUGCAUAGCCGACCUGAGAGGGUGAUCGGCCACCCUGGAACUGAGACACGGUCCAGACUCCUACGGGAGGCAGCAGUAGGGAAUCUUCCGCCAUGGGCGACAGCCUGACGGAGCAACGCCGCGUGAGUGAUGAAGGUCUUCGGAUCGUAAAACUCUGUUAUUAGGGAAGAACAUAUGUGUAAGUAACUGUGCACAUCUUGACGGUACCUAAUCAGAAAGCCACGGCUAACUACGUG
rnacentral:rRNA from 1 species